rnacentral:tRNA from 1 species
UGGCUCAGUUGGUAGAGCAUGGUGCUUGCAAUGCUACAGUUGUGGGUUUGAUUCCCAC